rnacentral:rRNA from 1 species
UAGGGAAUCUUCGGCAAUGGACGGAAGUCUGACCGAGCAACGCCGCGUGAGUGAAGAAGGUUUUCGGAUCGUAAAGCUCUGUUGUAAGAGAAGAACGAGUGUGAGAGUGGAAAGUUCACACUGUGACGGUAUCUUACCAGAAAGGGACGGCUAACUACGUGCCAGCAGCCGCGGUAAUACGUAGGUCCCGAGCGUUGUCCGGAUUUAUUGGGCGUAAAGCGAGCGCAGGCGGUUAGAUAAGUCUGAAGUUAAAGGCUGUGGCUUAACCAUAGUAGGCUUUGGAAACUGUUUAACUUGAGUGCAAGAGGGGAGAGUGGAAUUCCAUGUGUAGCGGUGAAAUGCGUAGAUAUAUGGAGGAACACCGGUGGCGAAAGCGGCUCUCUGGCUUGUAACUGACGCUGAGGUUCGAAAGCGUGGGUAGCAAACAGGAUUAGAUACCCUGGUAGUCCACGCCGUAAACGAUGAAUGCUAGGUGUUGGAGGGUUUCCGCCCUUCAGUGCCGCAGCUAACGCAUUAAGCACUCCGCCUGGGGAGUAUGACCGCAAGGUUG